CCAUUCCUGACCUAGGGGCUUUUCUAAGGAAGGCAGAAAAUGUUUGCCUAACACAGUGUGGGAAUUUUGCUGUCCUCGUGGAUCUUCAUAUCUUGCCACAAGGUUCAAACAAAGAUACAAGCUGGUUUUCUGAACAGAAGAAAGAGGAAGUCUGUUUACUGUUAAAAGAAACCAUUGAUUCAAGAGUUCAGGAGUACUUGGAAGUUCGCAAACAGCACAGGCCAUCAAAUGCAGAAUUCACAAGAUCCAAUCCCUUGUCCUUAAAAGGUUGAGACUAUUGUGAAGAGUGCUAUUGUGAACACUGUAUGUUCAUGCCUAAGUUCAGCUUUAGAUACUCAAGCAUUUUUUUCAAAG
rnacentral:lncRNA from 1 species